GACGAACGCUGGCGGCGUGCUUAACACAUGCAAGUCGAACGGAAAGGCCCUGCUUUUGUGGGGUGCUCGAGUGGCGAACGGGUGAGUAACACGUGAGUAACCUGCCCUUGACUUUGGGAUAACUUCAGGAAACUGGGGCUAAUACCGGAUAGGAGCUCCUGCUGCAUGGUGGGGGUUGGAAAGUUUCGGCGGUUGGGGAUGGACUCGCGGCUUAUCAGCUUGUUGGUGGGGUAGUGGCUUACCAAGGCUUUGACGGGUAGCCGGCCUGAGAGGGUGACCGGGCACAUUGGGACUGAGAUACGGCCCAGAGUCCUACGGGAGGCAGAAGUGGGGAAUAUUGCACAAUGGGCGGAAGCCUGAUGCAGCAACGCCGCGUGCGGGAUGACGGCCUUCGGGUUGUAAACCGCUUUCGCCUGUGACGAAGCGUGAGUGACGGUAAUGGGUAAAGAAGCACCGGCUAACUACGUG
rnacentral:rRNA from 1 species